rnacentral:tRNA from 1 species
GCCGCCGCAGUCUGGAUGGUGAGACGGCCAAAUCUGUCACAACAUUUUGGGUUCAUAUCCUUCUCUUUUUACAGAAUUUGUUGUGUUUUCGUUACAUUCGUGGCAGGAAUGGCAGACAUGGGUUCGAGUCCCAUCGGCGGCA